rnacentral:rRNA from 1 species
ACGCUGGCGGCGUGCCUAAAACAUGCAAGUCGAACGGGGUCUUCGGACCCAGUGGCGAACGGCGGAGUAAUACAUAAGCAACGUGCCCCUGAAGACUGGGGAUAUACGAUGGAAACGUCGGGCAAUACCAGAUGUGGUUGGGAGGAGUCAUCUUCAUCCAAUUAAACGGAUUUAUUCGCUUCGGGAGCGGCUUGUGGCCUAUCAGCUAGUUGGUGAGGUAAAGGCUCACCAAGGCGACGACGGGUAGGGGGUCUGAGAGGAUGAUCCCCUCGAGUGGGACUGAGACACGGCCCACACACCUACGGGUGGCAGCAGUUGGGAAUCUUGCACAAUGGGGAAACCCCUGAUGCAGCGACGCCGCGUGGAGGAUGAAGGAUUUCGGUCUGUAAACUCCUUUUACAGGGAAAGACUUAGGACGGUACCCUGUGAAUAAGCUCCGGCUAACUACGUG